GAAAAUGAUCACGGGAUAAAUGCAAUGCAGCUCAAUAGAUACAUAUCUUUUUAAAAUACAGGUAUAUCACAAGAGAUGACCCCUUCAAGUGACACAGAUAGACAAGAGAAACAGGUCAAUAGAGAUGACCUCUUCGAGUGAUACAGAUACACAAGGGAAAGAGGUCGAUAGACAUGACCCCUUAAAGAAAUAUAAAAAUAGAGCAGCAGGUCAACGGACAUGACCUCUGCAAGUGACAUACAUAGUGAAACAGACAGGACCUAUGAAUAUAUACAUCACAUUCUUCAAAUACUUUCUGAACCUUCUUCCUCGGAGACUAACUGGUUUAGCUUGUGAAGCAAUAAAUCAAAAUCAUCUUGGCUUCUGAUCAGGCUGAGGCGCACAUAGCGAUCUCCAGCAAAGAACCGGUGACCUUUCCGACUUGUGAUAUUGCUUGCUUGAAAAACUUCAUAACAGUCUUUAUCUUCUUCUUUUUCACAAUUCACCCAUGCAUAAGCUGGUGAAGCUUCCCUGACUUUCUUGAAAAAUAUGCAGUACUGGGGUGCUAUUUUCUGAAGAGAGAAACGCUUUGACAUUGAAAUUAUCUUAUUCAAUCUUUCCCAAAGUUUCCUCAUUGUUUGGUGUCCAAAUUCAAACAGAUCCUUUCCUCCUCCUUGAAGGACUACUUUCAGGAGCUUAAGAGCUCUUAAUUGACUCUCCCGAGAAACCCCGAUGGUAUUUAAUUCAGAAUACCUUUCCAUGCUUUCAUAGGUUGCUUUAUCCUUCAACACUGCCCACCUGUACGAGGCAAGGGAAAAACUGAUAGGAUUGUACAGACUUCAGUGCAUAAGAGGCUUAACAGUUCAAUUUGUAUUUACCCAAAUCUAGAGCCAGCAUGACCAGUGAGCUUGGAAAGUGUAAAUAUCAUCACAUCUUCAUCUGCUGGAGCUGGAAUUGCUGUGAAAUGAGGCCAAUAAUAGGCACGAUCAUAAAUUGCUUUCACAUUUUGGCCCUGGAGAACUGCCUUAUUCAGCUGGCCAUCAGGGUUGUUUGGAGAAGUUACAAACUCAAUCAUAUCUGUACCAGCCUCUGAAUAGUUUUUCCACAAGGAUGUAUCCCCUUGAAACCUGAAAUCCACCGACCGGAAAAAAUCUGUCUGUUCUUCAUAAACCGGGUAAAAGGGGAUUGAAGCUACAACUCUGGCAGGGGAUGAGGCAUUAUCAGAGGAUAAAGCGUGAACUGCAGCAUUGAGGAGUUGGGUUGAACCAGCACCAAAAGUAAUGUAUUUUUCUUGUGUUACUGCGUUGCCUACCAUAUCAUGAAGCUUGCGAAUGUGCCUCUGGAGCUCUUUCGAGGUAGAGGAUUGAUCACCGUAAUAGUAGCUCAUCCGAUGCCAUCCUGCUACCACAAUUGCACUGCUGGCUGCAUGCUGCACCCAGAAGGGCUCCAAGAAUAAUGGAUCCCCACCAUCAGCAUUCACGGUACAAGCAGAGAAGAACUGGGAGCAGUCAAGACCUCCAUAGCAACUGUUACACUCACAGAUUGGUUGUUGUUUGUCAUCAAGAAUAAGGCCAUCCAAGAAGGCUCUGCCAUGGCCAGAGCAAGAGAUGGCUGCCACAGCCUCAGCUUCUGUUGCGGCUUUCCUGGUCCAGUUACUCACAGCAGGAUCCCACCCAGCACCCAAGUACCAUUUGUAUAUCAAAAAUAGAUUAAGAACUAUGGAGGACGCUAAGCAUAACACAUGGCGGUGGAUUUUUCUUGAGUUUUCUAUUUUACUCAUAUUU
rnacentral:misc_RNA from 1 species